AUAUGGGUGUGGGCUCAGUGCUAUAUUAAUCCCUAUGGAUUAGAUAGCUCUGUGUGGAGAACACUAUUGAUUUCCUUAUUGCUGGCCUAGCCAGGCAACGGUUGUAACUUGUGGUAGUUGUCAGGCUUUUGGUUUCACUAUGGAUAAAUCAAAUGGCAACAGAACUGGUACCUCCUCCCUUUCACCCUUUCCUCCACCCCUUCCAUAAAUGCUGGUAAUCUGGACUUUUCUGGACCAUAGACUAUGCACAUCUUGUCCAAAGUACCAAGCAUCCCCAAUCUAAACAUAUGUGUGCAGCUCCACGUGGGUCUAUCUGAAUGUCAGAGGGCAAUGGCCCUACACUGGGAAAUGGAAAAGGGAUGUUCCCACUUCCUGUGCAACCUCCAGAAAUCCAUUUUAUGUGAAAUGGUAGCUCCCAGUAGAAUGAAGUGGGAAGAACCAAAUACCAGCGCUCUGUUCUAUCAACCCGAUCUCUUCCCACCAUUCUCAGCAGCAGGGACGGACAACACAAGACACCCACGGUGAAUAAAAAGGCAGUGUUGUGCUUCAUGAUUGGCGGCAUGUGUGUGCACAGGUCCUGGCUGCGAGCAGGAUGAGAAGAGUAACCAGAUUGAUGGAUCUGGAUGUUGGUACUUGGUUUUGCCCAUCUUCUUCUCAUUGGAGUCGCCAUUUUAUUUGAAAUGCAUUUCAGGAGGUUGCGUGAGGGGUGGGGGACGGACCUUUCACAUUGUUGGGUGUAGAGUUGCUGCUCUCCUGAUAUGCAGGUACACCUGGAUGGGAGCCUGAGCUCCGGCUGACUUUCAUUCACAUUCAGAUGCUUCCUUGGGUUGCACCAGGUUCUUUGGUUGACAACUGGAAGAGGAAGGUGGGAAAAGGGAGGGACCUGCCACACUCUUGCAGCCUCCCUGCUCAUGUGGAACCUGGGCCUUUAUCCAUCGUGAAUGAUCAUCUUUCCCAAGCUUUCAUCUUCUUAUUGUUCCCUUCGUGCUUUUUACUCUAUUGAUUCUGCUUCUAAACUAUAUAGCACUUAAUGUUUUUUUUAAUCAUUUCACAUUUUGGACUUAUUAUAUAUGCCAGUCUGUAGACACCAGACCUUGGCAGGACUCAGAAGGUCCCUCCAUGUCCUCCUGGCCCACAGAUGAGCCCCUCUUGUCCCUUACCAUGUUGCAUGAGAAAUUCCAUGUCACUGAUGGUCAGUACAUCAAGCAAGCACUCUCUGUGUCCCCUACUUGUGUCCACCUCCUCUUAGCAACUCAUCCCCCAAAGCCUUCCCUUGUACAGAAGUGAAAGAAAGGACCAGUCAAGGUCUCACAAAGAGACUGGGAGAGCAGGGUUGAAGUCCUUUCCUUACGUGUGUGUGUGUGUGUGUGUGUGUGUGUGUGUGUGUGUGUUUGUGUCCUCUUCUCCAGGGACAACUCCCUCACCUAAAAUGACUUUCCUCUCUCGGGCCAGAUCCUUCAGAUCCAAGUCUAGGAGGAGCAUGGACUUGAUGCUUUUGCUCUUUUCCCCAGUGCCGUAUGCCUUGAGGGCCCAUGUCAAAGCCCCUUACCCAUGUCAUGGAGUCUCUUGUGGGAAGGAUUAUUGUGUUGGCCAGAGGAGAUAAAAAGAAAAUAUUUUUUCAUGAAGGAAGAAGAGCAGGAAUAUAUGGGUGCACUUCCAAAUCAGCAAAAAAUGAAGGGUCCUGCUUAUUUACUUUUUUAACCCGGUGCAAACUCUUAUUUAUGCCAACAAUGCAUCUGCUUUGCUUCCUAUUUUCCCCUGGGGCUGAUGCCCAAGGCCAUGGAAUGAAAGGGCUGAGAGUGGUAAGCCAUAGAACUCUUAGCAGGCGCCUGCUGAACCAUGAAGAAACUUAAAAUAGCGAUGAUCUCCCUUUAUGCUGCUGCCUCGUUCCCCAUAGCCCACUCAUGAUGUUUAUACUCAAGGCCACAUGAAGCUAAUCUGUAUGGAAAUAAAGGGCAGAAAUAUUCAGAUUGAGUUUUACUAAGUGAACCUGAGGUUUCUCUGUUCAGC